UACGUAGGGACCAAGCGUUGUCCGGAUUCAUUGGGCGUAAAGGGCGUGUAGGCGGCGUGACAAGUCACUUGUGAAAUCUCCGGGCUUAACUCGGAACGGCCAAGUGAUACUGUCGUGCUAGAGUGCAGAAGGGGCAAUCGGAAUUCUUGGUGUAGCGGUGAAAUGCGUAGAUAUCAAGAGGAACACCUGAGGUGAAGACGGGUUGCUGGGCUGACACUGACGCUGAGGCGCGAAAGCUAGGGGAGCAAACGGG
rnacentral:rRNA from 1 species